UACAGAGGUCUCAAGCGUUGUUCGGAUUCAUUGGGCGUAAAGGGUGUGUAGGUGGCGCCGUAAGUCGGGUGUGAAAUUUCGAGGCUUAACCUCGAAACUGCAUUCGAUACUGCGGUGCUUGAGGACUGGGAGAGGAGACUGGAAUUCCCGGUGUAGCGGUGAAAUGUGUAGAGAGUCGGGAGGAACACCGGUGGCGAAGGCGGGUCUCUGGGCGAUCUCCGUGACGCUGAGGCGCGAAAGCGUGGGAGCAAACGGG
rnacentral:rRNA from 1 species